rnacentral:lncRNA from 1 species
GUUCCACACUGGAGAAGCUGAGAAGCCAAGGUAAUGCAAGAGCCUUCCAGGAAAAUCGUCCCCUGAUCUACAUGAACAUACGCAAGAACAAAGGAUUUUGACACCAAGAAGUUUUCAACAACCCACCACAACCCCUCCCCUUUUAGCCUAAAAGAGGCCCAAAUUCCAGCUCAGGAACUUCUGGGGCCUUAACCUAUGCCGCUGACAUGAUGGACACUGGGCAUCUGCCUCCAGAAGGCUGGAUGAGAAUCGUUCCGAGAAAUCAGUGAUGUCCUCUUCUAACAAGUCCAAUGGCCUGUGAAUGACCUCUGGCCUCAUGGUUAAGCUCAAAUGGUCAAGAUAGCACAAUGUCCUUAGAGAGAAAGGACUUUUCCCUUACUAUUAGUUUCUAUCAACAGAGAUUUUCCCCUAAAUACUCUCGCCCUUUUGUCUUACUUCUUACUUGUGCUCACAGAACAAAAAUGAGUGAGCUGACAUCAUGAUUUAAAUUUCUUGAUUGAUUGUAGAUAAUCUUUCAGAAGUUUCCAUGUGAAGGGAAUCUGCGCUGCUCUCCCUCAGACUUCUGUCUCCACUCAGAUCUGUAGGUCUAUCACUGGGAAUUUCUCUUCUGUAGGUUCAAAUCCUUGAGAGAGCUGUUCUUUUUUUUUGGGGGGGGGUGUCUUUUUAGGGCCCCAUCCGAGGCAUAUGGAAGUUCCCAGGCUAGAGGUCAAAGAGAGCUACAGGUGCUGGCCACAGCCACAGCAACACAGGAUCCAAGCCCCAUCUGCCACCUACACCACAGCUCAAGGCAAUGCCGGAUCCUCAACCCACUGAGCGAGGCGAUGGACGGAACCCACAUCCUCAUGGAUAUUGGUCAAGUUUGCUACCGCUGAGCCACGACAGGAACUCCAGGACAGUUGUUCUAAAGCUCAAAUUGGUCAUUAGGAAAGUGGUGAUACCAUUUUCACUGUUCCAAUACUCAUAUAUCAUCAGAGCUAUAAUGAGGGUAUUUCUAUAUUUUUUUGAAUAUUUCUUCUUGACGACUAUUAGAACCCAGGCUAUGAAUUGCUGGGCUCCCCCAAGAGCCUAGCAUUUUAUAUGUACCUGUGUGGACCAUAGGCCUGCAGGUACUCUACUACUUCUGUGCUUGUAAUUCCCCCCACCCCAGAAAUUCUAUGUUAUAUCUGUAUUGUGUAGUGCUAGUGACAGGUGUCUGUAACCCUCCUGAUGACAGAUCCAGCCACACUGAAAUUUAAAAAAUCCAGCCCCACUUUUUUUUCUGAUGAAAUUGAUGAAGUAUCUUAAAUGUGCCACUAUCUUUCAGCCUUGUUCAGGCCACCAGGGAGUAUGUUUCUCUUCUAUAAUAAUUCCCAGUGAUGACUUCAUAGACCACAGGGCUUAAUAUAUCAGUCGGAAUAACCUAAGCUGUGGUACAGUGAAAACAAACUGAAAAUGUCACUUACUUAAAGCAACAAAGUUUAUUUCUUAC